UCUAACAUGUGCGCGAGUCAUUGGGAUUUUUUAAACCUAAAGGCGCAAUGAAAGUGAAGGUCGUUCCUUAGAGUCGACCGAGGGAGGAUGGCUCGCGUUACGAUGCGAGCCCGCACUCCCGGGGCGUCUCAUGCUCAUUACGAGCGGAGGCGCACCCAGAGCGUACACGUUGGGACCCGAAAGAUGGUGAACUAUGCCUGGUCAGGACGAAGUCAGGGGAAACCCUGAUGGAGGUCCGUAGCGAUUCUGACGUGCAAAUCGAUCGUCGGAACUGGGUAUAGGGGCGAAAGACUAAUCGAACCAUCUAGUAGCUGGUUCCCUCCGAAGUUUCCCUCAGGAUAGCUGGCACUCGCUUGAGCGAGUCUCAUCUGGUAAAGCGAAUGAUUAGAGGCCUUGGGGCCGAAACGACCUCAACCUAUUCUCAAACUUUAAAUGGGUGAGAUCUCUGGCUUGCUUGAACGUUGAAGCCACGAGAGCAUAUUGCAAUGGAUCAGAGUGCCAAGUGGGCCAAUUUUGGUAAGCAGAACUGGCG
rnacentral:rRNA from 1 species